rnacentral:tRNA from 1 species
GCCCUGGUGGCCCAGAUGGUUAAGCCCUUGACUACUAACCGAAAGGUUGGUGGUUCGAAUCCACCUCGUGGCU